GAUGAACGCUAGCUACAGGCUUAACACAUGCAAGUCGAGGGGCAGCAUGAACUUAGCUUGCUAAGUUUGAUGGCGACCGGCGCACGGGUGAGUAACACGUAUCCAACCUGCCGAUGACUCGGGGAUAGCCUUUCGAAAGAAAGAUUAAUACCCGAUGGCAUAGUUCUUCCGCAUGGUAGAACUAUUAAAGAAUUUCGGUCAUCGAUGGGGAUGCGUUCCAUUAGGUUGUUGGCGGGGUAACGGCCCACCAAGCCUUCGAUGGAUAGGGGUUCUGAGAGGAAGGUCCCCCCACAUUGGAACUGAGACACGGUCCAAAACUCCUACGGGAGGCAGCAGUGAGGAAUAUUGGUCAAUGGACGAGAGUCUGAACCCAGCCAAGUAGCGUGAAGGAUGAAGGUCCUACGGAUUGUAAACUUCUUUUAUAAGGGAAUAAAGUGAGUCUCGUGAGACUUUUUGCUAUGUACCUUAUGAAUAAGGACCGGCUAAUUCCGUG
rnacentral:rRNA from 1 species